rnacentral:pre_miRNA from 1 species
UUUAUUGCCGAUGCAGCAUCAUCAAGAUUCUCACCAUCAAAAGCUUUGGUAGAGAGAGAGAGAGACUAUAUCAGUUUACCAUCUUGCCUUUAUAUGUGAAUCUUGAUGGUGCUACACCAGAAAUCAA